UGCAGUCGAGGGGCAGCAUGGAAGUUUGCUUGCAAACUUUUGAUGGCGACCGGCGCACGGGUGAGUAACACGUAUCCAACCUGCCUCAUACUCGGGGAUAGCCUUUCGAAAGAAAGAUUAAUACCCGAUGUCAUAGUCCUACCGCAUGAUGGGAUUAUUAAAGAAUUUCGGUAUGGGAUGGGGAUGCGUUCCAUUAGUUAGUUGGCGGGGUAACGGCCCACCAAGACAACGAUGGAUAGGGGUUCUGAGAGGAAGGUCCCCCACAUUGGAACUGAGACACGGUCCAAACUCCUACGGGAGGCAGCAGUGAGGAAUAUUGGUCAAUGGACGAGAGUCUGAACCAGCCAAGUAGCGUGAAGGAUGACCGCCCUAUGGGUUGUAAACUUCUUUUAUAUGGGAAUAAAAUGUUCCACGUGUGGGAUUUUGUAUGUACCAUAUGAAUAAGGAUCGGCUAACUCCGUGCCAGCAGCCGCGGUAAUACGGAGGAUCCGAGCGUUAUCCGGAUUUAUUGGGUUUAAAGGGAGCGUAGGUGGAUUGUUAAGUCAGUUGUGAAAGUUUGCGGCUCAACCGUAAAAUUGCAGUUGAAACUGGCAGUCUUGAGUACAGUAGAGGUGGGCGGAAUUCGUGGUGUAGCGGUGAAAUGCUUAGAUAUCACGAAGAACUCCGAUUGCGAAGGCAGCUCACUGGACUGCAACUGACACUGAGGCUCGAAAGUGUGGGUAUCAAACAGGAUUAGAUACCCUGGUAGUCCACACAGUAAACGAUGAAUACUCGCUGUUUGCGAUAUACGGCAAGCGGCCAAGCGAAAGCAUUAAGUAUUCCACCUGGGGAGUAC
rnacentral:rRNA from 1 species